UACGUAGGGGGCAAGCGUUGUCCGGAAUUAUUGGGCGUAAAGCGCGCGCAGGCGGCUGUUUAAGUCUGGUGUUUAAGGCAAGAGCUUAACUCUUGUUCGCAUCGGAAACUGGGCAGCUUGAGUGUAGGAGAGGAAAGUGGAAUUCCACGUGUAGCGGUGAAAUGCGUAGAGAUGUGGAGGAACACCAGUGGCGAAGGCGACUUUCUGGCCUAUAACUGACGCUGAGGCGCGAAAGCGUGGGGAGCAAACAGG
rnacentral:rRNA from 2 species